AUGUUAUCAAUUGGGCAGCAGGGGAAAGGCAUUUCUUAAAGUUUAUCUAAUACCCUUUAGACAUUAAUCAAGAAAAAUAAACGCUUCUUAAUCUGGUGCCUAGAAUGGCAAAAAAAAAUGAACAUUGUAACAAAAGAGAGAAAUUCAACUUUGGAAGAGCUUGUGUAGGAAUUGGAUACUGCCUUAUAUUAUGGUGGUUGCAAUAUAUUUUUUUGACCUGCUUCAAAACUGCUAGUUAUUUCUUCUGAUUGUUUAAAGGAGAAACCUUUUUCACCAUCUCAUGCUUCUCUCCUUUUUUAUUAAAUGGCAUUAUGUCUAACCUCAUUUACUUUGUGUUCCACAUUUAUUAAUAAAGUUCUCCACUAGUAAUUGUAACAUGAUUAUCUUAUGAGUGCUUAAGUUUGACCGAAAUUCUCUUUGGGUUUUUCCCUUAAGGAAAUGGUGUUAACUCUAAUCCUUCUUAAGGCAUUCAUCUUUUAUUCUAAUUCAGAAG
rnacentral:misc_RNA from 1 species